rnacentral:rRNA from 1 species
GGUUAAGCGACUAAGCGUACACGGUGGAUGCCCUGGCAGUCAGAGGCGAUGAAGGACGUGCUAAUCUGCGAAAAGCGUCGGUAAGGUGAUAUGAACCGUUACAGCCGGCGAUGUCCGAAUGGGGAAACCCAGUGUGAUUCGUCACACUAUCGUUAACUGAAUACAUAGGUUAACGAGGCGAACCGGGGGAACUGAAACAUCUAAGUACCCCGAGGAAAAGAAAUCAACCGAGAUUCCCCCAGUAGCGGCGAGCGAACGGGGAGCAGCCCAGAGUCUGAAUCAGCUUGUGUGUUAGUGGAACGGUCUGGAAAGUCCGACGGUACAGGGUGAUAGUCCCGUACACCAAAAUGCACAGGUUGUGAACUCGAAGAGUAGGGCGGGACACGUGGUAUCCUGUCUGAAUAUGGGGGGACCAUCCUCCAAGGCUAAAUACUCCUGACUGACCGAUAGUGAACCAGUACCGUGAGGGAAAGGCGAAAAGAACCCCGGCGAGGGGAGUGAAAAAGAACCUGAAACCGUGUACGUACAAGCAGUGGGAGCACCUUUAUGGUGUGACUGCGUACCUUUUGUAUAAUGGGUCAGCGACUUAUAUUCUGUAGCAAGGUUAACCGUAUAGGGGAGCCGCAGGGAAACCGAGUCUUAACUGGGCGUUAAGUUGCAGGGUAUAGACCCGAAACCCGGUGAUCUAGCCAUGGGCAGGUUGAAGGUUGGGUAACACUAACUGGAGGACCGAACCGACUAAUGUUGAAAAAUUAGCGGAUGACUUGUGGCUGGGGGUGAAAGGCCAAUCAAACCGGGAGAUAGCUGGUUCUCCCCGAAAGCUAUUUAGGUAGCGCCUCGUGAAUUCAUCUUCGGGGGUAGAGCACUGUUUCGGCUAGGGGGUCAUCCCGACUUACCAACCCGAUGCAAACUACGAAUACCGAAGAAUGUUAUCACGGGAGACACACGGCGGGUGCUAACGUCCGUCGUGAAGAGGGAAACAACCCAGACCGCCAGCUAAGGUCCCAAAGUCACAGUUAAGUGGGAAACGAUGUGGGAAGGCACAGACAGCCAGGAUGUUGGCUUAGAAGCAGCCAUCAUUUAAAGAAAGCGUAAUAGCUCACUGGUCGAGUCGGCCUGCGCGGAAGAUGUAACGGGGCUAAACUGUGCACCGAAGCUGCGGCAGCGACACUAUGUGUUGUUGGGUAGGGGAGCGUUCUGUAAGCCUGCGAAGGUGGCCUGUGAGGGUUGCUGGAGGUAUCAGAAGUGCGAAUGCUGACAUAAGUAACGAUAAUGCGGGUGAAAAGCCCGCACGCCGGAAGACCAAGGGUUCCUGUCCAACGUUAAUCGGGGCAGGGUGAGUCGACCCCUAAGGCGAGGCCGAAAGGCGUAGUCGAUGGGAAACAGGUUAAUAUUCCUGUACUUGGUGUUACUGCGAAGGGGGGACGGAGAAGGCUAUGUUAGCCGGGCGACGGUUGUCCCGGUUUAAGCAUGUAGGCGGAGGUUCCAGGUAAAUCCGGUACCUUUUUAACGCUGAGGUGUGAUGACGAGGCACUACGGUGCUGAAGUAACAAAUGCCCUGCUUCCAGGAAAAGCCUCUAAGCAUCAGGUAACAUUAAAUCGUACCCCAAACCGACACAGGUGGUCAGGUAGAGAAUACCAAGGCGCUUGAGAGAACUCGGGUGAAGGAACUAGGCAAAAUGGUGCCGUAACUUCGGGAGAAGGCACGCUGAUAUGUAGGUGAAGCCCCUGCGGGUGGAGCUGAAAUCAGUCGAAGAUACCAGCUGGCUGCAACUGUUUAUUAAAAACACAGCACUGUGCAAACACGAAAGUGGACGUAUACGGUGUGACGCCUGCCCGGUGCCGGAAGGUUAAUUGAUGGGGUUAUCCGUAAGGAGAAGCUCUUGAUCGAAGCCCCGGUAAACGGCGGCCGUAACUAUAACGGUCCUAAGGUAGCGAAAUUCCUUGUCGGGUAAGUUCCGACCUGCACGAAUGGCGUAAUGAUGGCCAGGCUGUCUCCACCCGAGACUCAGUGAAAUUGAACUCGCUGUGAAGAUGCAGUGUACCCGCGGCAAGACGGAAAGACCCCGUGAACCUUUACUAUAGCUUGACACUGAACAUUGAGCCUUGAUGUGUAGGAUAGGUGGGAGGCUUUGAAGCGUGGACGCCAGUCUGCGUGGAGCCAACCUUGAAAUACCACCCUUUAAUGUUUGAUGUUCUAACGUUGGCCCCUUAUCGGGGUUGCGGACAGUGUCUGGUGGGUAGUUUGACUGGGGCGGUCUCCUCCCAAAGAGUAACGGAGGAGCACGAAGGUUAGCUAAUCCUGGUCGGACAUCAGGAGGUUAGUGCAAUGGCAUAAGCUAGCUUGACUGCGAGCGUGACGGCGCGAGCAGGUGCGAAAGCAGGUCAUAGUGAUCCGGUGGUUCUGAAUGGAAGGGCCAUCGCUCAACGGAUAAAAGGUACUCCGGGGAUAACAGGCUGAUACCGCCCAAGAGUUCAUAUCGACGGCGGUGUUUGGCACCUCGAUGUCGGCUCAUCACAUCCUGGGGCUGAAGUAGGUCCCAAGGGUAUGGCUGUUCGCCAUUUAAAGUGGUACGCGAGCUGGGUUUAGAACGUCGUGAGACAGUUCGGUCCCUAUCUGCCGUGGGCGCUGGAGAAUUGAGGGGGGCUGCUCCUAGUACGAGAGGACCGGAGUGGACGCAUCACUGGUGUUCGGGUUGUCAUGCCAAUGGCAUUGCCCGGUAGCUAAAUGCGGAAGAGAUAAGUGCUGAAAGCAUCUAAGCACGAAACUUGCCCCGAGAUGAGUUCUCCCUGAGACUUAAAGUCUCCUGAAGGAACGUUAAAGACGAUGACGUUGAUAGGUCGGGUGUGUAAGCGUAGCGAUACGUUGAGCUAACCGAUACUAAUGAACCGUGAGGCUUAACCUU